CAUUUGUCAGUUCUUUGACUGUGUGUGUGUGUGUGUGUGUGUGUGUAGACUUUGUUCACUGCAGGAGAGAAGAAUUAUGGGACCGACGAAGACCAGUUCAUCACCAUCCUGGGGAACAGGAGCGCUGAACACCUGAGGAGAGUGUUUGCUGCGUACAUGAAGCUGGCAGGGUAUGAGAUGGAAGAGAGUAUUCAGAGAGAGACUUCUGGAGGACUGAGAGACCUGCUACUGGCCGUGGUAAAGUGUGCUCGUGCGUCCCAGCCUACUUUGCAGAGACUCUGUACUAUUCGAUGUCGGUAAGAAUCUAUUUUCUC